CAUUACCAGUAAGUGCUGUCUGAUCUCCGGGCAGAGACCCCACUGGAAUUUCCUGGCCUUUCGGCCCUCAUCCAUCAAUGUCUCCGGGGCAUAUCGGCCCAGCUCCAGGAACUUACGAGCAUACUCCAACACUGUCAUGUUUUCCUGGACCAAUUGAGCAAACUCCAUUUCCUUCAGGUGUUGGAUGUGUUUAGGGAAAUACUCUGCGUGGAAG
rnacentral:lncRNA from 1 species